rfam:Myotis lucifugus cont2.52709, whole genome shotgun sequence.
GCUGAAAUAGCUCAGUUGGGAGAUGUUAGACUGGAGAUCUAAAGGUCUCUGGUUCAAUCCUUGGUUUUGGCA